rnacentral:rRNA from 1 species
GAUGAACGCUGGCGGCGUGCCUAAUACAUGCAAGUCGAGCGAACAGACGAGGAGCUUGCUCCUCUGACGUUAGCGGCGGACGGGUGAGUAACACGUGGAUAACCUACCUAUAAGACUGGGAUAACUUCGGGAAACCGGAGCUAAUACCGGAUAAUAUAUAGAACCGCAUGGUUCAAUAGGGAAAGACGGUUUUGCUGUCACUUAUAGAUGGAUCCGCGCCGCAUUAGCUAGUUGGUAAGGUAACGGCUUACCAAGGCGACGAUGCGUAGCCGACCUGAGAGGGUGAUCGGCCACACUGGAACUGAGACACGGUCCAGACUCCUACGGGAGGCAGCAGUAGGGAAUCUUCCGCAAUGGGCGAAAGCCUGACGGAGCAACGCCGCGUGAGUGAUGAAGGUCUUCGGAUCGUAAAGCUCUGUUAUUAGGGAAGAACAACUGUGUAAGUAACUAUGAACGUCUUGACGGUACCUAAUCAGAAAGCCACGGCUAACUACGUG